rnacentral:rRNA from 1 species
GAAGCAACGCGAAGAACCUUACCAGCCCUUGACAUCCCGGUCGCGGAUUUCAGAGAUGAGAUCCUUCAGUUCGGCUGGACCGGAGACAGGUGCUGCAUGGCUGUCGUCAGCUCGUGUCGUGAGAUGUUGGGUUAAGUCCCGCAACGAGCGCAACCCUCGCCCUUAGUUGCCAUCAUUCAGUUGGGCACUCUAAGGGGACUGCCGGUGAUAAGCCGCGAGGAAGGUGGGGAUGACGUCAAGUCCUCAUGGCCCUUACGGGCUGGGCUACACACGUGCUACAAUGGCGGUGACAAUGGGACGCGAAGGGGCGACCCUUGGCAAAUCUCAAAAAGCCGUCUCAGUUCGGAUUGGGCUCUGCAACUCGAGCCCAUGAAGUUGGAAUCGCUAGUAAUCGCAGAUCAGCACGCUGCGGUGAAUACGUUCCCGGGCCUUGUACACACCGCCCGUCACA